AUGGACACUCCCUAUUCAAAUAGAGUCGGGUAUAAACAGCAUGUUCUUGGCUCAUUUCAUUCCCUGACCUCCUCUGCUUCUGUGGUGAAGAGACCUGAAGAGUCAGUCACUCUGUCCUGUACUGUCUCCGGAUUCUCAAUGGGCAGCUACCACAUGCACUGGAUCCGUCAGAAACCAGGAAGAGGACUGGAGUGGAUCGGAUACAUUAAUUAUGGCACUGGCACUGGCUUCACUCAGUCUCUGCAGGGCCAGUUCUCCAUGACUAAAGACACGAAUAAAAACAUGCUGUACCUAGAAGUGAAGAGUCUGAAAGCUGAAGACACGGCUGUUUAUUACUGUACACAAGAGUCACACUGA